UUUUAGCCCCGAUAGUAGUGGAAAUCCUUUUAUUUUUUUCUUUAAAAAAUAAAAGAUUGCAACGUAUAGCGGGAUUAGCU
rnacentral:sRNA from 1 species